rnacentral:lncRNA from 1 species
ACCCAACCCCGACAUCUGCCAGAAGCAUCCAUUCCUUCCAGAGGAUGCAACAUAUAAGAUGCCAUGUUAGAAGCAGAAAGCCCUUCUCAUCAGACACUAGACCUGCCAAUGUGUUGAUCUUGGACUUCUCAGCCUCCAGAAUUGUGAGACAAAACAAAUUAUGGAUGGCCCUGACCACAGGACACGCACCUUUCCAUCUGCUGUCCACAGAAGACCUGGAGUCAGGAUUUAGGCCAGGAUCAAGAUGAAACCAACCAACAUCAAUUUAGGACCCAAGCCAACUUCUCUCCCUCCAAAAUAAAUGUAAUCCUGUAAGACAAAUAGGAUUCUAUGCUCAACUUGUCACCAUCUACAUUUCCAACACAGACAAAAAAAGGAAGAAGGGAUGGCACUGAUGAAAACUUGGUCAUCGCACUGAAUUCACUUUCAGGUGGAAGUUCUCUGAUUUGCAACAUUCAUCCCACAUCUGGUGUUGGACCCACCCACUACCUGUGCACAAUGGGGUGAAUUCAUUACAUGUCAGGAAACCAAAUCACUGUCUAGCAGUAGUUGCCUCCAAUUAUUCAGUCUCUAAAGUGCCUGGUCAGCCUCGAAGCCUUAACUCUCCACUUUCUUUCUUCCGGAGGUUAGAGCCAACACUUCAACCUGGUGGGUUGUUUUUGGUUUUGUUUUGUUUUGUUUCACGGAGUUUAAAGAACAUGGUAAAUGACAGAGGUCUAGAAAAAUAUAUUUCCUCCAAAGCUGGUGACCAAUUAGCUGCUCGCCACUGACUGUCAUUUCACUGCUAUGAGUGCUGUGUUCUUGUAGCAUAGUGAUAGAUGCACUGUUUAUUUUCCACUUUACAGUCUUUGCCAAUACUCCAAGUCCCACACUGCUGCC